rnacentral:rRNA from 1 species
AUUGAACGCUGGCGGCAGGCCUAACACAUGCAAGUCGAACGAGUGGCGGACGGGUGAGUAAUGUCUGGGAAACUGCCUGAUGGAGGGGGAUAACUACUGGAAACGGUAGCUAAUACCGCAUACCAUCAGAUGUGCCCAAAUGGGGUUAGCUAGUUGGUGGGGUAACGGCGCCCCAGGGCGACGAUCCCUAGCUGGUCUGAGAGGAGUACCGGCCACACUGGAACUGAGCCACGGUCAAGACUCCUACGGGAGGCAGCAGUGGGGAAUAUUGCACACUGGGCGCAAGCCGGGUGCAGCCAUGCCGCGUGUAUGAAGAAGGCCUUCGGGUUGUAAAGUACUUUCCGCGGGGAGGCGUUACCCGCAGAAGAAGCACCGGCUAACUCCGUGCUAGCAGCCGCGGUAAUAC